AGGAUCAUUUGUACAGUGAGGAUGGAACCUAAAACGCUACCAGCAUCUGGCUUAAGUGCUGAUGUAGCAAAGCCAUACAUUGUGCUUACCAAAAAGUUACUUCCAUUGAGGCAGGAGAAUUAUCUAGAAAGGACUGUUUUCUCAUGAAAAUGAUUCUCUCCCAGACCAGGCGCAAUCUUUAUCCAUCCUCAAUUAUCCCUCAUUUUCAGUUGCUUUUACAAUAUCCGAGUUUCUCUCUCUGCUUUCCAAUUUCUCCCUUCGUCCUCAGUUUACUUCCAAUCCCAGGAUCCUGGCAACCUCCUGACCUGACCAUAAGAGCUGCCCAAGAGUGGGAUAGACUGCUUCAGCAGCUGGUGGACUCUCUUCCCUUGGAGAUUCUGACGCCCGAGGACCACAAGGAAAAUGCACAGACAGCCAUUGACGGAGUUUUCAUUUAGAGAGAGCCCACAUUGCACACUUAUACCAGUUUGAUGCCAUUUUAACUGCUGGGGUUCUCACCAAUGGAAUCCUGGGAUUGGUAGUUUUGUUGAGGAACUUUGCAUUCUUUGCUAGUGACUCCUAGAAAAGGCUAUGGCUUGGGGGAGCACUCUAGACAGGGUGACCAGAUGUCCUCCUUUUCCAGGACAUGUCCUACAUGUCAAUCUGCAGUCCAGGGGGAAUUUCAAAAUAUCCUCCAUUCUGAGCACAACUGACAAGCCUGAAUUGAUGUUUAUAUGAGUGUUUAGCUUUAUCUUGGAGCUUUUAUUUUGUAAUACCUGCCAUUUUUUCCCUUGAAUGCCCUACAUUUUGUAGUGCCUUGUCCUCCUUUCCAGUGAGGUGGACCUCUAGUCCCCCUGACUCUAGAGAAGUACCCUAUGAACUGCAAAUCCCAGGAUCCUCUAGUUUUAAAUGGUACCCAUCUCCUGUAAUGCAUAGUCUAGAUGCAGAAGCACACCAGAGCCAUUUAUUUCCUUCUGUAAUUCAUGGCUCACAGUUUUUGGGAAUGCCAUUUGGCAGCGGGAUCGUUUUCUUCAUAACCUUUACCUGUCAUUAAGGCAAUGUCAGCUACAAAUAAAAAUGUUUUCUUUUAACAAAA